rnacentral:rRNA from 1 species
AGCGAACGCUGGCGGCAGGCCUAACACAUGCAAGUCGAACGAACUCUUCGGAGUUAGUGGCGGACGGGUGCGUAACACGUGGGAACGUGCCUUUUGGCUCGGAAUAACUCAGGGAAACUUGUGCUAAUACCGAAUGUGCCCUUCGGGGGAAAGAUUUAUCGCCAUUAGAGCGGCCCGCGUCUGAUUAGCUAGUUGGUGAGGUAACGGCUCACCAAGGCGACGAUCAGUAGCUGGUCUGAGAGGAUGACCAGCCACACUGGGACUGAGACACGGCCCAGACUCCUACGGGAGGCAGCAGUGGGGAAUCUUGCGCAAUGGGCGAAAGCCUGACGCAGCCAUGCCGCGUGAAUGAUGAAGGUCUUAGGAUUGUAAAAUUCUUUCACCGGGGACGAUAAUGACGGUACCCGGAGAAGAAGCCCCGGCUAACUUCGUG